rnacentral:rRNA from 1 species
GACAGAAUCCUCGAGCGUUACCCGGAUUUAUUGGGCGUAAAGGGUCCGUAGGUGGUCAAGUAAGUUUUGAGUUAAAGCUCGUCGGCUUAACCUUCGAGAUGCUCAAAAUACUGCUAGACUUGAGGGCGUUAGGGGUUAGCGGAACCGACGGAGUAGGGGUGAAAUCCGUUGAUAUCGUCGGGAACACCAAAAGCGAAGGCAGCUAACUAGGACGACCCUGACACUGAGGGACGAAAGCGUGGGGA